rnacentral:rRNA from 1 species
UUCAAUAUUUAUAAUAAAUUUAAUGCACAAGUUUUCAUCAAAACUUCGCAAUUAAGUGUGCUUGGGCUAGAGUAGUACUAGGAUGGGUGACCUCCUGGGAAGUCCUUGUGUUGCAC